CAGAAGCUACAAAUUUAAUCAGGAAAACUGUCAUCGGUGAAAAUGGUACUUCUCAUCGUGGUCAGGAAAACCUGAAAUGGAAAUAAUAUCUUUCCAUCUCACUUAAUAUUCACUGCCAAAUAUUUCAGGCAUCUUAGAGCUAUUCUUGAUUAUUUUCAUCACUCCUUUUCAGUGAAUUUUAUUUCCUUGUUCUUGUAAAUUAUGGAAAAAUAUAGCAUAGUUCUAUAUGAAAGUACUACAGUUGAUACAGUUGAUACAUAUAUGAAAGUAUGUAUCAAGCAAGAGGUCAAGUUCUUAUUGUAUCUUGCCUAAGCCUUGAUAAGAAAUUUUUGAAGUUAUUUUGAUAUUAAAUGAAGGAGGCCGCUUAUGCAAAUUUAUUUCAGAGAAGAAGAACUGAUAGAAAAAAAUUCAAAAUAUUCUAUUCUCUUUUCUCCUAUUUCUGGACUUUUAUUUGAAUCACAAACUGGUAUGAAAUGGAUAUUUUGCUAUUUAAGGACAAAAGAGAGACAGAAAUUAAUAGCUCAUUAUAAUUUAAAAAAAUGCAAUAGUCGUGUGCACACAAGCAUGAGAUUCCUGCAUUUUCAGAUAUGCUAGAAAUGCCCGCAAGUCGGGUUUCCAAUAUUGCACCAUUGAAUGUAAGGAAACUCAUGGGGAUUUUUAUUUUGAAGUCGGCACAAAUGUUAAAAUUGAUCAUACCUUGAUAGGUUUCCUUGAGAGACCAAUAAGUUGAUCUGUAAAUAAUGUAGGUCUCAUUUUCAUCAGUUUUUAUACACACCAAGUGAUUCAGGGCUGUAUUUAUAGACAUUCUCCAAGCAGUUCCUUUCCUUAGAAAACAACAUAUGGUUUGCUUGAUGAUCAACGGAGGUUUAAUGUUGUCCCUUGAAGGGGCAUCAUAAAAAGGACAGUUUUAACGAACCUCUAUUAAAAUUCAAUAGUAUAUUAAUGGAAAUAGACCCUUGCAAGGGAUCAAAAUGAUAUUCAUCCAAAAAAUCAAAAUACCAAAGAUAAAAAUGUUGAGCUCUUUAAGGUAGGCUCAUACCUACCUUAUCAAAACCAUAGAAUUUUUUCUCUGCAUUUUUUAUUUUCGGCAAUACAAAGAAAACCGUUCUAACCCUUGCAAGAGUAUUUCUAAAGUUGCACUUUAAAAUUUUACUCAUAAUUCCUUCUAAUUGUCAUCUUUAUGAUGCUGUGUUAAGGAUUUCCUUAAACCUCCCUUAAAAUCGCAAUGUAAAAUAUACUUUUAUAUGUAUAUAUAUAUAUAUACUAUAAUAUAUAAUAUUCUUGAGGAAAGCAGCUGUGUAAAGAGCAUUUAUGAACAAGGCCUUGAAAGAAAGCAUUCCUGUACAAAUUUUUUUUUUCCUGAUACUCUGAGCUCUGAAAUCAAUUCAAGGAACACAACUUAAAUCACAAGUCUUGACCAACGAAUAAACUUACUGUCUUAUUCUUUGAAUAAUUGAUUCAUCAGUUAUAAUGCUUCUCAUCUUCACCAGGCGCUUACUUAUGGAUGUAAGUUACUUUGCUUCAAACCUAGUCACUCAUAUUUUGCAAGUAUUGUAACAGGAAGAUUUUAAACAGUGCUUGUAUGGUUAAGAAUUUCGUGUUUUAAGUACUGUAACUAUUAAUGAUUCAUGUGCCUCAAUCGGUAUAAUUCAAUUGAAUUUGUUCAUGAAGGAGACCCUUAGUUGGUCUUUUAGAAUAAGUGUAGUUGCAGUGGAAAUACUAUCUUUGAUAUGAUUCUUGUCAUUCAAGCAGUCACUUAAGUCAUGCUUCGUAUAAUUAUGGCCUGCUUGACGAAAAGAAACAACAUGCAAAAAUGGAUAGCAGGACAGCCAAAAAACAUUGAGUUUCUUUUCUUCUCAAGUUCAAGAAUUCCAAGAUAGAAGUUCCUCCUGGGCUUUCUGGUGAUGCCCUCCAAAUGCAUGAUGAGAGAUUCAUAAAAUGAUAUCAAACAUGGAAGAUGAACUUUUUAAAUCAAUAUUUCCAUUUUUUUUCUUCAAGAAGGAUUUUGCUUUCAUUGAACAAAGAAUUUCUUGAGAUUUCCUUCCCUAAAAGUGUUUUAGUCUCUGACAAAAAUGUAAUAGUCCCUGCUUUAAAGGCACUUACCUAAUCAGCUACCUAAACUUGCAAAUAGUUUCUCAAAUUUAAAAUGUUUCCAAUCUAAAAAAUUGACCAAUAAACUUGGCUCCUUUCCUUCUUUGAGGUCUUUCAAACUUCUACCAUUUUUAUGGUAAGUGAAAUCUUCUUCCAUCGCUUAUCAUGUUUAAUACCGUAAAAAUCCCUUCUUGCAUUUGGCAAUUUCCUGAAAAAUACUUGAUCUCAACAGAAAUUCCUCCUGUGGGAUGAGAUAUUCAGCUUUCAUUAGCUUUCAUCUUCAUUUUUAAUUACAACAUUAUUGUAUGCUUCUAUUUAUGUUUGUACCUACAUCAUCUCAUGAUCUUAAAAUUAGAAUCAUGUCAGACCAUUUACAACGACCAUAUGAAGAUUUUAUGUGUGUGAUAAAAGUGUAAAUAAAUUAAACCCUUACGCCGUUAUAAAACCGUUGCGUAGCCAGGACUGAUAGAAGUGGCACGUAUGGAGGACCAUAAUGCAACAUUUUUAAACUCUAGUCAAUUUUACGAAAAUUUUAAAAACUACUUUUAUUCAUUUAAUGUAAAGAUAUCUGUUGUGUUCUCUCAUCGAAUUUCCCUCAUUUCUCACUGCACACUAAAAUGAGUGAAAAACCCAUUGAUGUGAAAAAUCCUCUCAUCAAAAAUUUUCCUCAAUUCUUUAAAGGUUGCUUCUCAAAGUCAAUUUUAUCUGACCUACCGAACAAAGUUUUAAAUGUAUUGGGAGGUCUGGCUCAAAUAUAUCCUACUUUUUAUUCGUAGGAUUGAAAGAGUUUUGUAACCAAAUGUUAUAGUUUGCUAAAAGUUUGAUAAGAUCUAAUGAUGAAGAUCUGAGUCUCUAUACUUUUUAAGCAUCUGUAGUGUUACUUUACACAGAUUGAUCAUUCUCUGUUUUACUUAGUCAAGCUAAAGAUGGUAUCAUUUCUAACUUACACUCGGAAUCGAAGUCUUUCUGAAAAUCCACCAUUAAAUUCCAACAUAUCCACCAACUUCGUUUGCAACACUUGAACUAUGAGUGAUCAAAAUUGGAAGCUUUUAUAUAGCCCAAAGUACUUUAGAAGUUAUUUAAAAGGUAGAAAUGGGCCAGUAUAAAUUGUUCAAUUUAAACAAUGAAGUUAUAUUUAUAUAUUACCUUUUUAAAAUUUCGAGAAGCAAGUGGAGAAUCGGAAAUUAAUUCAUCCUCCAUCUUUCUGGGCGGUUCGCAUUUGACUUUAAUUGAUUGUAACUAAAAAUAUUAAAUGUUAUGAAAAUUGCAUAAUGUUUUAGAUCGAACUUGGUUGCAUAAUAAGCACCAAAAGCGAGAGAUUUCGCAAGAGAGUUCCUGCAAUACUGAACGUCAAAAAAGCAACUUGAUUUCAUGAUUAUGUGGAGGAAUCAAGUGUCUGUGGAUAUUGUCUCUUCUUCGGACAGCUUUCUUUGUUGGUAGCUUACAACUAGUUGAGUGAAAAGAUGAAAAGUGGCCACCACCAUUUACAUGUAUGUUCUCAAGGUUCAUUAUGUGCAUCCUUUUCUCAAUUAAAUGCUGUAUGGGGAAGUAGGUAAAGAAAUGCUUUGAUUUAAAUCUUGUCCAUUUGCUUAUUUUUUAGAUCAGCUCACUCAGAACCUUUAAAAAAAAUCCUAUCACAAGUAGCUUAGAACUGUGCACACAGAGAAUUUAUUCUAGUUGGCAGUUCAGAUUCUAUGCCUGCCUGUCUAGCAGUUUUCUCUGGAAAGGUUGCAGAAACGUUUUUAAACUGAGUUUUGCAACUUUCGGCAACCAUUGCGGUGCAGGUGUAUUUUACUUUUUCCAAAAAAUUUAUUGCAUUAAGACUGACCAUUUGUUUUAUUAUUUUUAUUCAGAUGUCAAUUUACUUGGGUUUUUUUCACAAAUCUCCGAUUUAGCUUACCAUUGGGCCUUGUAAAUCUUUGUAUUCUAACAUUAUUUUUGUAAAACUAUGCGCUCACAGAAAUUAAGCUUUUAUUCUUCAAUAUUUAUCUGUCUAAUUUAUCUGCAUUCAAAGUAUGCAGCCGUAUUUGCAAUUAAAAUGAUCAGGUCAUUACUCAAUUUUUGUUAGUUUGAGGUUUAUGAGGGAAAAAUUCUCUGUUCACCAUUGCUGGCAGUUUCAUCCAUGACUUUAAGAAACUGGAUUUCUCAUCACUUGUCAGAACUAUUUUUUGUGCCUGAGGCCCGCACUCAAUGAGUGUCUAAAAUUCAGCUAAUACAGAUCCUUUAUGAUCAAAAUCAGCAUGGUACUCAAAGUGGCUGUAUAUUACAAAUUUUGACGAACCGAAGAUGUAACCCUAGCCAUUAGAAAGUUUGAUAAAAAUGGAAAUUAUGCACCAACAGUUACUGUCCACAAUUUUUGCCAGUCAUUUUCUUCUCCUGACUGACAAUAAAGCACUAGGAAACUCCAAGUAUUUUUACUUUUUUUUGUGUGCUUUGAAGCGGGGAGAAAUCAUUUUACGGUAACUUCUGUCCCCGCCGUCUCUACCAGUCGCAAGCAACCAAGAUAGGGGUCAAAACCGCAAGUACCCAGCGUAGACAGGGAUUGAGGCAUGCUUGAUGUUCAGCAGUGGGCAAAUGGGCUCAGACCCUGACUCCAAACCCCUGUCAACCGUAUAAAGGUCGGCAGUUUUCCCAGUAAAAUUUCUGAUCAAUUGAAGGACAAUCCAAGUUAAAAAUUGCUACUUGCAAAGCAUCACAAGAGAACACAGCACUGUCAGCAUGAGAGAAUGAUUCCCUUUCAACUUAUGUUUCCUCUUUGAACAGUGUCCCAUUUCAGCAAGAAAAACUAGUUUAGAUCAGGGGUGCAAAUAUUUCUUCAGAGCAAAAAUUGUUGUUUUCUCAGUCUCAAAAUUUCUUCAUUAAACAAGCAGAAAUGUGAAGAGUAUGCGCUGACCCAAAAAAUUUAAAAAUGUGUGCCUUUUCCUUUUUUUCAUUAAAAAUAACAGGUUCUCAUCAAAGAUUCCCUCUUGGGCGAAUUGAGGCUGGCACGCUCAAGCAUUUUUUUGCACCCUUGGUAAAGAUAAUAUAGGGUUCAAAUAAUUGAGAGUCCACAGCUAUUUCAUUCAUUCAGAAAUGUAUGUUUUGGUUCUUUGGCUGAUGCCGAAACCUUGCAACACCUCAGCAAAACCCUUCACUCUAAGUUGUUCUAAUUGUUUUCUUUUUUGUUGAUCAAUUUGUUUAACUUUGAAUGUACCAAAUCUUUUGGUUUGUUUUUGUUUUGUACAAGUAGUUUUAAUUUUUUUGUUUAAUUUGCUGUUGAGUAUGAGUGAUUGAGGAGGUGGCUGCAAAAAAGCAUGUGUGAAAACCGUGUGUUAUACAAAUAGAAAUAAUUCAUAAAUCUUAGUGCAACUCUUCCUCAACAUCUGUUCUAAUUAUGAAAACGCAAAAA
rnacentral:lncRNA from 1 species